UACAGAGGGUGCGAGCGUUAAUCGGAAUUACUGGGCGUAAAGCGCACGUAGGCGGCUUGGUAUGUCGGGUGUGAAAUCCCCGGGCUCAACCUGGGAACUGCAUCCGAAACUGCCUUGCCCGAGUAUGGGAGAGGGAAGUGGAAUUUCCGGUGUAGCGGUGAAAUGCGUAGAUAUCGGAAGGAACAUCAGUGGCGAAGGCGACUUCCUGGACCAAUACUGACGCUCAUGCACGAAAGCGUGGGUAGCAAACAGG
rnacentral:rRNA from 1 species